rnacentral:tRNA from 1 species
UCCGCAGUAGCUCAGUGGUAGAGCUAUCGGCUGCUAACCGGCCGGUCGUAGGUUCGAGUCCUACCUACGGAG